rnacentral:lncRNA from 1 species
UUUAGUUCUGUUUACAACCUCUAUUUAUAAGCAAAACUAAUCUAACUAACUCUAACAACUUCUUACUGUCAAUGCCGCAACAGCAUGGAGUUAGUUACAAGGCUAACAGAAAACUACGCUUCAGUAGCACAACCAUCAGAGUCUGAUCAUGAUAACUUGCACUACAACAACACACCUCCUAGUACAAGUUAUCCAAGCUUUCCAUUCCCAUAAGCUUCUUCAAUUCCUCAAACCUCACUCUCUUAAGAGGUUUGGUCAGUAUGUCAGCCAACUGAACCUCGGUUCUACAAUGCUCCACAUCAAGCN